GCUAACUGUUUGGAGAUACCUCUCUCGUGGAGUUUUUCCUAUGAGUCUGGAUCUUCAGAGAUGGAACUUAAGCCCCAACAAGUGAAGUUGAUCUCGUGCCUGAGGCAUCUGCAGUCCUCCAGCAGAGACCUCUCCCAGUGCAGUGACACCAGAGCAACUUGAACAAUGUUACCCGGGAACAUCCGGA